rnacentral:rRNA from 1 species
UACGUAGGGUGCGAGCGUUGUCCGGAUUUAUUGGGCGUAAAGAGCUCGUAGGCGGUUUGUCGCGUCGGCCGUGAAAUCUCCACGCUUAACGUGGAGCGUGCGGUCGAUACGGGCAGACUUGAGUUCGGUAGGGGAGACUGGAAUUCCAGGUGUAGCGGUGAAAUGCGUAGAUAUCUGGAGGAACACCGGUGGCGAAGGCGGCAUCCUGGACCGACACUGACACUGAGGAGCGAAAGCCAGGGGAGCAAACGGG